UUCUAUAAGCAUGUUCUUUUUCUUUUUUUACCCUGAUCUCACGCCUUGCUCUACAGGACUUUGAGGAAAUGCAAUUAUUUCCGCCACCAUCAGAGAAGCCACUUAGAUGCUUAAAGAAGUCAUGGAUAGUGUCUCAUUGUCGUGGAAGAGAGUCUUUGUUGUGCCACUACUUCGAUGAGCAGUUAACUCGGCCACAGCUGCUACAGGCUUCAACCACAUUACUAUAUGGAACAGAUGGGAGUCUUUAACUCAUUAGAGGGAGCCAGUUUAAUACUGACCCCAUCAAUCUGUUCUAUUUUUACCUCGGAGACAGAAGAUUUUCUGUAAAGGCUGUAGUCAUAUGCAUCUGCUGAUGUGCGUGUACCUAGAUGGCAAGUUCUGAAGGUACUGAGGCAGAACAAAAAGAAAUGGGAACGUUGCAGAGUGGAUGAAGAGGAGACCUUUUGGCAUGCUACCAAGCAGAAAGCACAACUAGAAUGAAUUUAUAACUGUGCUGCAGUUACUUAAGGAAAACCAAGAAUACACAAGCAUGGCUUGGUAUGCUUCAGAGUUUGACCUGCUUGUGUUUAAAAAAAAAUAAUUAACUCAACUGGUGCAUACACUGCCUCUUCUGAAUUUAAUCAUUCUGGGACAAUUAGAGUACUUUUGUGUUUUCUACUUUGGCACUCCUCUGAAACUAUAGCAUCUGGAUAGCUUUAAGGACUGCUUUGGUUCAGUAAAAAGAAAAGAAAAGAAAAACAUGUAUUCUGUGACUAACAGCAUCCUUUCAUCGGGAUUACUUUCUCUUUCUUCUUUUGUUUUUCAUUGCUGAGUCUGGCUUUCUGAAAGGUUAGCAUAUUAACUAACAGGGAAAGCUUCACUUAAAGGAUUACCACACAUAAUGCACAAAUAGAACACAAGAGUGAGACUUGGAAAAUAAUGUGGCAUUCAAUUAUUCAAAAAUUAAGUUUCUGCAAUGACAGAAGCUUUAUUUCUAGUAAUGAGCACAGUGUACAAUACAGCAAUAUUUGCUUUUGCUUAAUUUGGGAAACUCUUGAAAAAGUGGCUGAAAUGUGGGGUAACUGCAUAUACUGAGCAAAACAAUUCUGGGAUUUUACAACUUUAUUUCAAAUCAAGACCAUGGACUUGAAAACACUGAAAACACACCCUAUAACUGCUCGUUUGAGCAGCAAGUAAAACUUGAAUUGCGCUAAUGUUCUUGGAAGUGCAUAGGAAAGUGUAAUGAAAACAAAAACAGGACUGCAGGAUACAUUUGGGUUUAAUAGUUUAUAUAGUCUCAUAAAAACAGUAAGAAGAAAAUGUAGAUAUCAUCCAAGAUACUUAUAAACUGGACAAAAAAUACAUUGUGUGGCUUUCUUCCCAUACUUCUUGUUGGUAGAAACAGGACCAUAAGACUAGAUCUUCAUUCUCGUAGAGAUUUUGCCUUCUCCUAUUACUUAUCACAUAAUGUGACACCAACAUAAAGUCUGUAGCAGACAAUUGUCAUAUCCUAGCCAGAUGUUCCAGCCAGAGAAUUGGCUUUUUAGUGACAAGCCAUUAAUUCUAUUCCAGUAACUAAUUACAGUGCCUUAAGCUGCAUCUCCAAAAUAGAUUUGUUUUACUUUUGCCCUCACGAAGAACUGUCAUGCCAUUUCCUGAAAGUUCAGUUUGUUUCCUUUUAAGUAAACUUCCAAAGAAGAUAAAUGAAUGUCAUUCCAGAUUAUAGCCUGAAGUAAAGAACAAACUGCAAGAUCAGAUAAAUUCCUGUUCUAGUUUUCAUAAAAUAAAUAAAUGAUGUAAGAAAUUGCUGGAAACAUUUUCUAAAUAGGUGGUUGAUUAAAAAAAAUCUUAAUCAGUGGCUUCAGACUUUCUAAUUGCUUAGUACAAAGGCCUUACAGAACACAAGUAAGCAUCCCACAUA